rnacentral:lncRNA from 1 species
CUUAGGCACUAUAUAUAUAUAUUAUAUAUAUAUAUAUAUAUAUAUAUAUAUAUAUAUAUUUUAAAACUUCCUAGGUGAUCCCAAUGUGCAGCCAAGCUUGAGAACCAGUGCUCUGAUGGAUUUUCCCUUGGGAAGUGUACCCUGGUGGGAAGCAAGAAGAUAAAAAACUUGCCUUCCAGAUGCCUCUGCUGUCAGGAGCAGCCAUGUGACAUAAUUUUGGCCAUUAAGAAUGUAAGCUCUAUGUGGACAAGGGUUUUUUGUUUGUUUGCUUUUCUAUUUUGUUCUCUGCUGGUCAAAACUCAUUACAUUGUACACUCUAAACAUCUCUGGUCUAUUGUACGUUAAUUUAAAACCCAAUAAUGUACAAAAUUAAGGAGCGAUUGUUAAGAAAAUCCAAAGGCAAAUUACAAGUUGGAAGGAAACGUUUCUUGGCCCUGAAGGAAGUUGAGGCGAGGAUUCUAAGGCACUGAGACCCCGUGCUUAAAUUUCAGAUAAAUUGCAGAGCUAGCUGAAAUUUAUCCAGCUGACACUAGAUGUCACCAUUGUGCUAUGUAAGUGUAGCUGCUUCUCAGAGUGCUAUUUGAUAUUCAGGACAGAGUCAGGC